AAAACCCCAUAAACUUAAGAGCUAUUCAAAUAAGGCACAGCUUGUUUGAAAAAGGAUACAACCUAACAUAAAGGGUAAGCGACAACACACUUGUCUUAAGUGGGCCUGAAAGCAGCCACCUUUCAAAAAGCGUUAAAGCUUAAUCUUAUCUUCACUCACCAAUUCCCGCAUUUCCCACGAACCCUCAACUACAACUGAAUAAUUCUAUAACACUAUAGAAGAUAUAAUGCUAAAACUAGUAACAAGAAGUUGACCUUCUCCAAAAUGCAAGCAAAAACCUAACCGGACCAACCAUUGGUUAAUAACGCCCAUGAAACGAAUAUAGUAACUUACUCUAGUAAACUCUAUUAAUAAAAGCGUUAACCUUACACAAGAGCAUUUCUGGAAAGAUUAAAAGAAAAAGAAGGAACUCGGCAAAUCUAGGCCUCGCCUGUUUACCAAAAACAUCGCCUCUUGACUCCUAUAAGAGGUCCAGCCUGCCCAGUGAUACUAUUAAACGGCCGCGGUACCCUGACCGUGCGAAGGUAGCAUAAUAACUUGUUCUUUAAAUGGGGACUAGCAUGAACGGCAUCACGAGGGUCUCACUGUCUCCUUUUUCUAAUCAGUGAAACUGAUCUUCCCGUGAAGAAGCGGGAAUUGAAGUAUAAGACGAGAAGACCCCAUGGAGCUUUAAACCCAAUAGGCACCUCUGACUAAUCUAGCCCACAAUACUUCUUAUAGUUCUGUCUAUUGGUUUUAGGUUGGGGUGACCACGGAGUACAACAAAUCCUCCAUGACGUACGGGGCUUCCCUCUUAUCCUUGAACCACAUUUCUAAGAAUCAACAAAUUGACGUUUGUGAUCCAAUAUAUUGAUCAACGAACCAAGUUACCCUGGGGAUAACAGCGCAAUCCAUUUUAAGAGCCCCUAUCGCCAAAUGGGUUUACGACCUCGAUGUUGGAUCAGGGUAUCCUAGUGGUGCAGCCGCUACUAAUGGUUUGUUUGUUCAACAAUUAAAACCCUACGUGAUCU
rnacentral:rRNA from 1 species